GUGAAUCAUCGAAUUUUUGAACGCAAAUUGCGCCUUUUUCGGAAGGCAUGUCUGUUUGAGUGCACCAUUCAACAAAUAAUGUGCAGCGUUUGGUGCUGCCCACGCUUAUGGGCUUUCCAGGAAUUGUAAAUCUUUGGUUGCGCAUAGUGAACAGCGUGAAAGCUUUUUUCAUUUCGAGUGUAGUAAAAUCUUUGAUUGAGUUGUGCAAAAACAUAAUCGCGCAAUGGGCGUGGCA
rnacentral:misc_RNA from 1 species